rnacentral:rRNA from 1 species
UGAGGAAUAUUGGUCAAUGGGCGCAAGCCUGAACCAGCCAUGCCGCGUGCAGGAUGACGGUCCUAUGGAUUGUAAACUGCUUUUGUACGGGAAGAAACACCUCUACGUGUAGGGGCUUGACGGUACCGUAAGAAUAAGGAUCGGCUAACUCCGUGCCAGCAGCCGCGGUAAUACGGAGGAUCCAAGCGUUAUCCGGAAUCAUUGGGUUUAAAGGGUCCGUAGGCGGUUUUAUAAGUCAGUGGUGAAAUCCGGCAGCUUAACUGUCGAACUGCCAUUGAUACUGUAGAACUUGAAUUAUUGUGAAGUAACUAGAAUAUGUAGUGUAGCGGUGAAAUGCUUAGAUAUUACAUGGAAUACCAAUUGCGAAGGCAGGUUACUAACAAUACAUUGACGCUGAUGG